rnacentral:tRNA from 1 species
UCCUUGGUGGCUCAGACGGUAAAGCAUCUGCCUAUAAUGCGGGAGACCCAGAUUCAAUCCCUGGAUCAGGAA